ensembl:lncRNA
GCUUUAACCUCUGAGCCACCAGGGAAGCCCUGGGUAUAGAUAGCCCCUACUGAAUUCAAGAUUUAAAAAAUAUUUUCCAGAGUUAUUGACAUAUAAUUGACAUAUCGCAUUGUAUACAUUUUAUAUAAUUUUUACUUGUUUAUUUGUCUGACUGUGCUGAGUCGUCUUAGCUGCGUGUGCUCUCUGCUCUCGUUGCAGAAGGUGGGGGCUCCUCUCUGGUUGCGGUGCGCGGGCUUCUCGCCGCAGCGGCUUCCUUUGUUGCGGAGCACCGGCUCUGGGCGCUCGGGCUCCCGCAGUUGCGGCUCCCGGGCUCUAGAGCGCAGGCUCAGUAGUUGUGGCGCCCGGGCUUCGCCGCCGCUCAGCGUGUGGGUUCUUCCCAGACCCGGGAUAGACCCCCGUGUCUCCUCCAUUGGCAUGCGUGCUUCAUCGCUCAGUCCUGUCCAACCCUUCGAGACCCUUUGGACCCCAGCCCGCCAGGCUCCUCUGUCCAUGAGAUUCUUCAGGCAAGAGUACUGGAGCAAGUUGCCAUUUCCUCAUCCAGGGCAUCUUCCCAGGCUGAGGAUUGAACCCCUGUCUCCUGCGUCUCCUGUAUCGACAGGCGGAUCCGUUACCGCUGCGCUAGCUGGGAAGCCCAGUUUUUAUGCCAGUACCAUGCUGUGUGACUGCUAUAGAUUUACUGUCAAGUUUUAAAUCAAGCACUUCAGCCUCGAGUGCUUGCUCAUCCCUAAUCUCAUCUGAUCCCUAUAACGGCCCAUGAGCUCAUCGAGAACACCCGCCGCCCUCUGACCCGAUGAAAGGGAGGUAAGCGCUCACACGGGCGCACUGAGAGAAAGAGACACAGAAAGGAGACAGGAGGACCCAGAUCUCAGCGGAAAGGCUCAGGAUUAAGUUCGUUCUCCCUGACUUUUCAUCUGCAUCCUUUUAUCGUCCAUCUGUCUGACAUGCGGUCCUGGUCCGAGGUUGCAGGAGGUGGAUGGAGAGUGUUCAUACAGGGCGGGGGGGCUUGGCAGGGGUGGGGUCAGGACUCUGAGCAGCGACAGAGAACACAUCUGGCCAGAUGUGUAAGGAAGACGCCACCGGCUGGCCGAGGACCGUGACCACGCAGUUGGCCACCAUCUCUCCCACGCCUGUGAACCACCCUGCUUCUUUAUUCCUCAUCCCAUAAACCCCCCAGCCCCUUGCCAUGGGGAAGGGAGGCUUGACAUUUGUUUUCCAUCUCCUCGCUUGGCUGCCUUGCCAAUAACCCCGCUCUAUGCUGCGGACCUGGGUGUCUCAGCGGUUUGACCUGCUGUGAGUGGGCAAAACAAACCCGGCUCGGUAACACUGACACCUGUUUCAGCACGGACGGACCUUGAGGACACUCUGCUAAGUGAACUGUCAGUCACGAGAAGACAAAUCCAUGUGAUUCUGUUACAGGAUAGAGUCUUGUAGAGAAGAAGGCUGGUGCCGGCUGCACAAUACCAUGAAUGCGCUUAACUCCACUGACCCUUAUGCUUAGAAUCGGUUAAGACGUGUUUUACCACAAUUGUUAAAGUUUUUAAGUGGGGUGAAGUCACGGAGUGGAUGCAAGCCCUCUGGCCUCAGCCUCCCUCUUCUCCCACUUUGGGCUUUGCAGUUUGACCCGAAUUCCUAACCCACUGGUGAUACUCUGCAGGUCUACACCUGGGGAGGUUUGCCAAUUCUGCUUCCCCUCCCUGGGGUUCUUUCCCUGCUUUUUCCCAUCUUUUGACCGAACCCACUCAAAUGCUGUGAGAUGGUUGGAUGGCAUCAUGGACUCAAUGGACGUUGAGUUUGAGCAAACUCUGGGAGGUGGUGAAAGACAGGGGAGCCUGGCAGGCUGCGGUCCAUGGGGUGGCAAUGAGCCAGACAUGACUCAGCAGUGGAGCAGCGACAGCUCCGAGGGUUGCAGGUGUCUCUCUGGGCCCCCUCUUCAUCAUGCCUGGAUCUCUACAGCCGCCCUCUCCAUGAUGUGUUGGCCACAUGUUUGCCUGUCUACACGUGUCUCCCCAGUAGACGUGGGCUGCGUGGGGCAGGGUGCCUGAAGGAAAACCUCUCGCCUGGUGCCCGCUUCAUCCUGGAACAGCUAAGAUGGUGUUAAUUCCACGGUAGCAGCAGUUUCCUUGACCACCCCGUGUAAGACUCACAGCCACAAACGGGGGAGCAGGGGCAAUCCUGAGUUGCCACGUUCGCCACUGUCCAUGGUGUAAAUACUCCCGUCCUGGUUCAUUUCAAGCUAACGUUGUGACGUCACCGAACCCAGAGUCGGGAAGAGAUGCAUGUGAUCAGCUCUCCUGAGUAACCCAAACCGGUUCCGGCAAUGAGAUGCCGCUUCACACAUCUCAUCAGCAGAGCACUAAGCCAGACAAUACCGAGGGUUUAAUAUGAAGAUGUGUUAAGUGCUGGUGGGCGUGGAAACUGAUUCAGCCGCUGUGGAGAGCAGGGCGGUAUUAUUUGGUGGGAUGCUGGUAGUCUGCAAUCCAAAAAUGUGUGCGGUUUUCUCUCUGGAGAUGUGUAAACAGAGCUUCUUGCAACGUUGUUGGGAAGAGCCAGAAAGUGGAAGCAACCUAAAUGUCCAUCAAUAGGAAAAUGUAUAAAUAAUCAUGAAACAGUCAUUGAGCGGGAGAAUGCACUACAGCAUUCUUAAAAUUAAUACACUAAUACAUUUAUCAGGAUGGCUAUAUCUUAGAAGGCAUAAUGUGGAAUAAAAAAAUCAAGCUUUAGGAUGUUAUGUGAUGCAUAACAGAGAACUUCUGUAGAAGUUUUAAAUGCAUAAAAUGCUACCCAGUGAUAUGAUACAGAGAUAUAUAUUCACUGAAACAUGAUGAAAAAUUAUUUUAAAUAGAGUAGACAAAUACAUCUGAAAUUUAUGAUAAUAUUGCUCCUGGGGAGAGAGAAAGGAGCUUGAAACUGGGGAUGGAUGUAAAGGGUACUUCAUCUUUAUUAUAUUAUUCUAGCUCCUUUAAAUAUUAAAAAAUAGUGAUUUGAAAUAAAAAUGACAACAUUUUAAUGGUUUAAAUCCUGUAUUCUGACAAAUAGGGCAUUGUACUGGUUACAUUUUUCUUUAUGUUUCUUGAUAUUUCAAAAAGUCCUUCAAAGCAUCAGGGCACAAGCUCUUUAUGACAUGAGAUUAACUCCAUCCCUGUUCACUGGCAAAUCUCACACACCACGUCCUCAGGCAGAGAGCAUGACCAGGUGGGUCCUUUCCUCGCAAGUGAUGUGCCCCCUUCUCCAGGAAGCCCCUCUUGACGUCCUCCUCUGGGCUCCUGGUGGCACUUCAUGAAUGUAGCUUUGGUGACACUUGUCACACUGAUUGUACAGUAAUGUAAUGUUUCCAGCUGGAGCUGGGGUCAUCCCAAAGGUUCUCUUCACAUGUCUGGAUUGGAAAGACUCAAACAGCUUGGAAGUGGGGUGCCUGGGGUUUCUGAGACACUUCUAUCUUUCUAGACAGAUCCACAGAUGAUGAAGAUAGAUCGGUAGAUGCAGAUGGGUAAUGGCUAAGUAGGUAGAUAGAGUGAAGACAGAGAUAGAUGAAUGAAUGAUAAAGAUGGAUGAUAAAUAAAAGACAGAUAGAUAGCCCUUCCAGUAUCCUUGCCUGGGAAAUCUCAUGGGCAGAGUAGCCUGGUGGGCUGUUCCCUGGGGUCGUAGAAGAGUUGGGCACAACUGAGUGACUAGACAGGUGUAAAUGGAAGAUAGAGAUACUGGGGUAUGUUGUAAAUGUGCCAUCUCUUACUCUAGAACCAACUGCUACACACUCAGGAAUUUUGUGAGCUGGUCACCAAACCAUCAGUAACUUGAAAUUGACGGUGAUGAGAGUAUUUCCAUCACAGAAAUAAACUAUACGUCAGGUCUGUUUUUGAGAGGGAGCAAGCUUAUCUGCAUCACUGGGUGUGGAUAAAGAAAUAUUUAUUUUCUCCAUUCUGUGUAAAUAUAUCCAGUUCUCCCAGCUUUGUCCACUGAGCCAAGACGAAAAGGUGAAGGGAGGUAAAACCUCCUCCCACUGCCUUUUAGGGAAUAGUCGCCUCGUCUGCCGAGGGUGGUCACCUCGCCCCCGUGCUCACCGAACCUCUAGCAGCUCCAGAAGGGAGCAGCCGCCUCUGCAGUCAGCUGAGGCCUUGCCACAAAGUCACCCCCUGAUAUCUGUUCAGAGUCAGAGGAAUAGAGAGGAAGUAAUUAUUAUUUACACUUCUAUUGAAAAGGCUUCACUUAAAACUGAAAGGAAACCCCACAAUUGGCAACGAGGUUAAAAAAACAAAAGACACUGAGCAAAAAUAGUUUC